CAAAUUAGAGCUUGAUAUAAAGCAUCUUACUUACACUAAGAAGUUAAUUGUGAAAUUCAUUUUAAUUUGA
rnacentral:tRNA from 2 species